UACGUAGGGUGCAAGCGUUAAUCGGAAUUACUGGGCGUAAAGCGUGCGCAGGCGGCUUUGUAAGUCAGAUGUGAAAUCCCCGGGCUUAACCUGGGAACUGCGUUUGAAACUACAAGGCUAGAGUGUGGCAGAGGGGGGUGGAAUUCCGACGUGUAGCAGUGAAAUGCGUAGAGAUGUGGAGGAACACCGAUGGCGAAGGCAGCCCCUGGGUUAACACUGACGCUCGAGGCACGAAAGCGUGGGGAGCAAACAGG
rnacentral:rRNA from 1 species